rnacentral:lncRNA from 1 species
CUUGUCUCAAUGAGGUAUAAAGGGAAAGGAAACAUUCGGGAGUACAUUAUGGAAAUGUCUCACAUUGCUUCAAAACUAAAGGCGCUCAAGUUGGAUUUAUCUGAAGACUUGUUAGUGCACUUGGUUCUGAUAUCCCUUCCGGCACAUUUCAGUCAAUUCAAGGUGAGCUAUAACUGUCAAAAGGACUCAUGGUCCCUUAAUGAGCUCAUCUCACACUGUGUCCAGGAAGAGGAAAGACUGAAGCAUGAAAAGACAGAAAGUGCUCAUUUAGCCACCACCUCUAAGGACAAAAGCAACAAGAAAAGGAAGAUUAAUAAGGAAGCUGCAGGUACGGCACCGCAAAAGAAACAGCAUAAGGAACCAACUGAAGGCGGUUGUUUCUUCUGUGGAGCUGCAGGUCAUAAGAAGAAGAAUUGCACCAAUUACCACGCAUGGCGUGUAAAGAAAGGUAC